rnacentral:rRNA from 1 species
AGACCCGAAACCCGGUGAUCUAGCCAUGGGCAGGUUGAAGGUUGGGUAACACUAACUGGAGGACCGAACCGACUAAUGUUGAAAAAUUAGCGGAUGACUUGUGGCUGGGGGUGAAAGGCCAAUCAAACCGGGAGAUAGCUGGUUCUCCCCGAAAGCUAUUUAGGUAGCGCCUCGUGAAUUCAUCUCCGGGGGUAGAGCACUGUUUCGGCAAGGGGGUCAUCCCGACUUACCAACCCGAUGCAAACUGCGAAUACCGGAGAAUGUUAUCACGGGAGACACACGGCGGGUGCUAACGUCCGUCGUGAAGAGGGAAACAACCCAGACCGCCAGCUAAGGUCCCAAAGUCAUGGUUAAGUGGGAAACGAUGUGGGAAGGCCCAGACAGCCAGGAUGUUGGCUUAGAAGCAGCCAUCAUUUAAAGAAAGCGUAAUAGCUCACUGGUCGAGUCGGCCUGCGCGGAAGAUGUAACGGGGCUAAACCAUGCACCGAAGCUGCGGCAGCGACACUGUGUGUUGUUGGGUAGGGGAGCGUUCUGUAAGCCUGUGAAGGUGUGCUGUGAGGCAUGCUGGAGGUAUCAGAAGUGCGAAUGCUGACAUAAGUAACGAUAAAGCGGGUGAAAAGCCCGCUCGCCGGAAGACCAAGGGUUCCUGUCCAACGUUAAUCGGGGCAGGGUGAGUCGACCCCUAAGGCGAGGCCGAAAGGCGUAGUCGAUGGGAAACAGGUUAAUAUUCCUGUACUUGGUGUUACUGCGAAGGGGGGACGGAGAAGGCUAUGUUGGCCGGGCGACGGUUGUCCCGGUUUAAGCGUGUAGGCUGGUUUUCCAGGCAAAUCCGGAAAAUCAAGGCUGAGGCGUGAUGACGAGGCACUACGGUGCUGAAGCAACAAAUGCCCUGCUUCCAGGAAAAGCCUCUAAGCAUCAGGUAACAUCAAAUCGUACCCCAAACCGACACAGGUGGUCAGGUAGAGAAUACCAAGGCGCUUGAGAGAACUCGGGUGAAGGAACUAGGCAAAAUGGUGCCGUAACUUCGGGAGAAGGCACGCUGAUAUGUAGGUGAAGUCCCUCGCGGAUGGAGCUGAAAUCAGUCGAAGAUACCAGCUGGCUGCAACUGUUUAUUAAAAACACAGCACUGUGCAAACACGAAAGUGGACGUAUACGGUGUGACGCCUGCCCGGUGCCGGAAGGUUAAUUGAUGGGGUCAGCGCAAGCGAAGCUCUUGAUCGAAGCCCCGGUAAACGGCGGCCGUAACUAUAACGGUCCUAAGGUAGCGAAAUUCCUUGUCGGGUAAGUUCCGACCUGCACGAAUGGCGUAAUGAUGGCCAGGCUGUCUCCACCCGAGACUCAGUGAAAUUGAACUCGCUGUGAAGAUGCAGUGUACCCGCGGCAAGACGGAAAGACCCCGUGAACCUUUACUAUAGCUUGACACUGAACAUUGAGCCUUGAUGUGUAGGAUAGGUGGGAGGCUUUGAAGUGUGGACGCCAGUCUGCAUGGAGCCGACCUUGAAAUACCACCCUUU